rnacentral:rRNA from 1 species
AUUGAACGCUGGCGGCAGGCCUAACACAUGCAAGUCGAACGAGUGGCGGACGGGUGAGUAAUGUCUGGGAAACUGCCUGAUGGAGGGGGAUAACUACAGGAAACGGUAGCUAAUACCGCAUACCAUCGGAUGUGCCCAGAUGGGAUUAGCUAGUAGGUGGGGUAACGGCUCACCUAGGCGACGAUCCCUAGCUGGUCUGAGAGGAUGACCAGCCACAUUGGAACUGAGCCACGGUACAGACGCCUACGGGAGGCAGCAGUGGGGAAUAUUGCAAAAUGGGCGAAAGCUUGUUGCAGCCUUGCGGCGUGUAGGAAGAAGGUCUUCGGGUUGUAAAGUACUUUCAGCGGGGAGGCGUUACCCGCAGAAGAAGCCCCGGCUAACUCCGGGCCAGCAGCCGGGGUAAUAC